rnacentral:rRNA from 8 species
UUGACCUCGGAUCAGGUAGGGAUACCCGCUGAACUUAAGCAUAUCAAUAAC